CACUCGUUAGUUUGGCCGCGACGUCCAAGGUAUCAGCGUACGGCAAGCCAAAUCCAUCAAACGCGAACGUGCCCCACCUACGUUCGAAACAAAAGUUGAGAUCGCGGAACAGCAGAUCAUACACACUGCUGCUACUGAUGUCGGUCUUGGAGGGAGUGGAUGCUUGAGGAUGCGGUGCCAUUCAAGUGGGCUGCUUUAUCCUGGAUCGUGUCAAGUUUCUUGACUGUUAUUUGGGGUGCACUCAUCCAGGAGCUAACAUGAAUAUCACAAUAUGACAGUUACAGAUCAUCAACUGUCACACCAUAACCGUGACAUCAAAACCAUCCCUUAUUUUUACUUUUGUAAGAAAACUAUGGAAGAAUAAGUGAGACCCAGUACAUCCGUUGUUGUAAAAAGGAACAUUGAAGUCAAGUGAACAAGCAUCAACAGAAACGUGCAAUUUCACCUUUGAAAUAAAAGAACACCUUGAAGACUACAAUAAAGCAAAAAAAAUGGCAGAUGUGGGAGACCUGAAACAAAAACAGAAAUUGCUGGAGAAAAUAAUCAAAUCUAAAAGCAUCCAUGUCAAGAAAGCAGAGUUAACAUUUCAAGUCCAGUAAUUCUUCAUUAAAACAGUUCAUAAGUUCUGAAGAAGAAUCACAGGACUCGAAAAAUUAAUCUUGCAGAUUAGUUUUACAUGACAUUCAGUUAGAAAUAGCUACCAGUAUUGUC